GACGAACGCUGGCGGCAGGCCUAACACAUGCAAGUCGAACGGAGUGGCGAACGGGGGAGUAACACGUGGGUGACCUGCCCUGCACUUCGGGAUAAGCCUGGGAAACUGGGUCUAAUACCGGAUAGUGUGGGCUGGGCCCGCGGCCUAUCAGCUUGUUGGUGGGGUAAUGGCCUACCCAGGCGGCGACGGGUAGCCGGCCGGAGAGGGUGGACGGCCACAUGGCGACUGAGACACGGCCCAGACUCCUACGGGAGGCAGCAGGGGGGAAUAUUGCACAAUGGGCGGAAGCCUGAUGCAGCGACGCAGGGGGGGUGAUGACGGCCUUCGGGUUGUAAACUCCUUUCACCAUCGACGCGGUAGAUGGAGAAGAAGCACCGGCUAACUACGUGCCAGCCGCCGCGGUAAUUC
rnacentral:rRNA from 1 species